GAUGAACGCUGGCGGCGUGCUUAACACAUGCAAGUCGAACGAUGAAGGGGGCUUGCUCCUGGAUUAGUGGCGAACGGGUGAGUAACACGUGAGUAACCUGCCCUUGACUCUGGGAUAAGCCUGGGAAACUGGGUCUAAUACCGGAUAUGACCUUUCUUUGCCUGGUGGUUGGUGGAACGCUUGUGUGGUUUUGGAUGGACUCGCGGCCUAUCCGCUUGUUGGUGAGGUAAUGGCUUACCAAGGCGACGAGGGGUAGCCGGCCUGAGAGGGUGACCGGCCACACGGGGACUGAGACACGGCCCAGACUCCUACGGGAGGCAGCAUUGGGGAAUAUUGCACAAUGGGCGCAAGCCUGAUGCAGCGACGCCGCGUGAGGGAUGACGGCCUUCGGGUUGUAAACCUCUUUCAGUAGGGAAGAAGCCGCAAGGUGACGGUACCUGCAGAAGAAGCGCCGGCUAACUACGUGCCAGCCGCCGCGGUAACAC
rnacentral:rRNA from 1 species